UACGUAGGGCGCAAGCGUUGUCCGGAAUUAUUGGGCGUAAAGAGCUUGUAGGCGGUUUGUCGCGUCUGCUGUGAAAUUUCGGGGCUCAACCCCGAACUUGCAGUGGGUACGGGCAGACUAGAGUGUGGUAGGGGAGACUGGAAUCCUGGUGUAGCGGUGAAAUGCGUAGAUAUCGAGAGGAACACCUGCGGCGAAGGCGGGUUGCUGGGCUGACACUGACGCUGAUGCGCGAAAGCCAGGGGAGCGAACGGG
rnacentral:rRNA from 1 species